UUCCUACGGGAGGCAGCAGUAGGGAAUCUUCCGCAAUGGACGAAAGUCUGACGGAGCAACGCCGCGUGAGUGAUGAAGGGUUUCGGCUCGUAAAGCUCUGUUGUUAGGGAAGAACAAGUGUCGUUCAAAUAGGGCGGCACCUUGACGGUACCUAACCAGAAAGCCACGGCUAACUACGUGCCAGCAGCCGCGGUAAUACGUAGGUGGCAAGCGUUGUCCGGAAUUAUUGGGCGUAAAGCGCGCGCAGGCGGUCUUUUAAGUCUGAUGUGAAAGCCCCCGGCUCAACCGGGGAGGGUCAUUGGAAACUGGGAGACUUGAGUACAGAAGAGGAGAGUGGAAUUCCACGUGUAGCGGUGAAAUGCGUAGAUAUGUGGAGGAACACCAGUGGCGAAGGCGACUCUCUGGUCUGUAACUGACGCUGAGGCGCGAAAGCGUGGGGAGCAAACAGGAUUAGAUACCCUGGUAGUCCACGCCGUAAACGAUGAGUGCUAGGUGUUAGGGGUUUCGAUGCCCUUAGUGCCGAAGUUAACACAUUAAGCACUCCGCCUGGGGAGUACGACCGCAAGGUUGAAACUCAAAGGAAUUGACGGAA
rnacentral:rRNA from 1 species